GGUUAAGCGACUAAGCGUACACGGUGGAUGCCCUGGCAGUCAGAGGCGAUGAAGGACGUGCUAAUCUGCGAUAAGCGUCGGUAAGGUGAUAUGAACCGUUAUAACCGGCGAUUUCCGAAUGGGGAAACCCAGUGUGUUUCGACACACUAUCAUUAACUGAAUCCAUAGGUUAAUGAGGCGAACCGGGGGAACUGAAACAUCUAAGUACCCCGAGGAAAAGAAAUCAACCGAGAUUCCCCCAGUAGCGGCGAGCGAACGGGGAGCAGCCCAGAGCCUGAAUCAGUGUGUGUGUUAGUGGAAGCGUCUGGAAAGGCGCGCGAUACAGGGUGACAGCCCCGUACACAAAAAUGCACAUAUUGUGAGCUCGAUGAGUAGGGCGGGACACGUGGUAUCCUGUCUGAAUAUGGGGGGACCAUCCUCCAAGGCUAAAUACUCCUGACUGACCGAUAGUGAACCAGUACCGUGAGGGAAAGGCGAAAAGAACCCCGGCGAGGGGAGUGAAAAAGAACCUGAAACCGUGUACGUACAAGCAGUGGGAGCACGCUUAGGCGUGUGACUGCGUACCUUUUGUAUAAUGGGUCAGCGACUUAUAUUCUGUAGCAAGGUUAACCGAAUAGGGGAGCCGAAGGGAAACCGAGUCUUAACUGGGCGUUAAGUUGCAGGGUAUAGACCCGAAACCCGGUGAUCUAGCCAUGGGCAGGUUGAAGGUUGGGUAACACUAACUGGAGGACCGAACCGACUAAUGUUGAAAAAUUAGCGGAUGACUUGUGGCUGGGGGUGAAAGGCCAAUCAAACCGGGAGAUAGCUGGUUCUCCCCGAAAGCUAUUUAGGUAGCGCCUCGUGAAUUCAUCUCCGGGGGUAGAGCACUGUUUCGGCAAGGGGGUCAUCCCGACUUACCAACCCGAUGCAAACUGCGAAUACCGGAGAAUGUUAUCACGGGAGACACACGGCGGGUGCUAACGUCCGUCGUGAAGAGGGAAACAACCCAGACCGCCAGCUAAGGUCCCAAAGUCAUGGUUAAGUGGGAAACGAUGUGGGAAGGCCCAGACAGCCAGGAUGUUGGCUUAGAAGCAGCCAUCAUUUAAAGAAAGCGUAAUAGCUCACUGGUCGAGUCGGCCUGCGCGGAAGAUGUAACGGGGCUAAACCAUGCACCGAAGCUGCGGCAGCGACGCUGAUGCGUUGUUGGGUAGGGGAGCGUUCUGUAAGCCUGCGAAGGUGUGCUGUGAGGCAUGCUGGAGGUAUCAGAAGUGCGAAUGCUGACAUAAGUAACGAUAAAGCGGGUGAAAAGCCCGCUCGCCGGAAGACCAAGGGUUCCUGUCCAACGUUAAUCGGGGCAGGGUGAGUCGACCCCUAAGGCGAGGCCGAAAGGCGUAGUCGAUGGGAAACAGGUUAAUAUUCCUGUACUUGGUGUUACUGCGAAGGGGGGACGGAGAAGGCUAUGUUGGCCGGGCGACGGUUGUCCCGGUUUAAGCGUGUAGGCUGGUUUUCCAGGCAAAUCCGGAAAAUCAAGGCUGAGGCGUGAUGACGAGGCACUACGGUGCUGAAGCAACAAAUGCCCUGCUUCCAGGAAAAGCCUCUAAGCAUCAGGUAACAUCAAAUCGUACCCCAAACCGACACAGGUGGUCAGGUAGAGAAUACCAAGGCGCUUGAGAGAACUCGGGUGAAGGAACUAGGCAAAAUGGUGCCGUAACUUCGGGAGAAGGCACGCUGAUAUGUAGGUGAAGUCCCUUGCGGAUGGAGCUGAAAUCAGUCGAAGAUACCAGCUGGCUGCAACUGUUUAUUAAAAACACAGCACUGUGCAAACACGAAAGUGGACGUAUACGGUGUGACGCCUGCCCGGUGCCGGAAGGUUAAUUGAUGGGGUCAGCGCAAGCGAAGCUCUUGAUCGAAGCCCCGGUAAACGGCGGCCGUAACUAUAACGGUCCUAAGGUAGCGAAAUUCCUUGUCGGGUAAGUUCCGACCUGCACGAAUGGCGUAAUGAUGGCCAGGCUGUCUCCACCCGAGACUCAGUGAAAUUGAACUCGCUGUGAAGAUGCAGUGUACCCGCGGCAAGACGGAAAGACCCCGUGAACCUUUACUAUAGCUUGACACUGAACAUUGAGCCUUGAUGUGUAGGAUAGGUGGGAGGCUUUGAAGUGUGGACGCCAGUCUGCAUGGAGCCGACCUUGAAAUACCACCCUUUAAUGUUUGAUGUUCUAACGUUGACCCGUAAUCCGGGUUGCGGACAGUGUCUGGUGGGUAGUUUGACUGGGGCGGUCUCCUCCUAAAGAGUAACGGAGGAGCACGAAGGUUGGCUAAUCCUGGUCGGACAUCAGGAGGUUAGUGCAAUGGCAUAAGCCAGCUUGACUGCGAGCGUGACGGCGCGAGCAGGUGCGAAAGCAGGUCAUAGUGAUCCGGUGGUUCUGAAUGGAAGGGCCAUCGCUCAACGGAUAAAAGGUACUCCGGGGAUAACAGGCUGAUACCGCCCAAGAGUUCAUAUCGACGGCGGUGUUUGGCACCUCGAUGUCGGCUCAUCACAUCCUGGGGCUGAAGUAGGUCCCAAGGGUAUGGCUGUUCGCCAUUUAAAGUGGUACGCGAGCUGGGUUUAGAACGUCGUGAGACAGUUCGGUCCCUAUCUGCCGUGGGCGCUGGAGAACUGAGGGGGGCUGCUCCUAGUACGAGAGGACCGGAGUGGACGCAUCACUGGUGUUCGGGUUGUCAUGCCAAUGGCACUGCCCGGUAGCUAAAUGCGGAAGAGAUAAGUGCUGAAAGCAUCUAAGCACGAAACUUGCCCCGAGAUGAGUUCUCCCUGACCCUUUAAGGGUCCUGAAGGAACGUUGAAGACGACGACGUUGAUAGGCCGGGUGUGUAAGCGCAGCGAUGCGUUGAGCUAACCGGUACUAAUGAACCGUGAGGCUUAACCUU
rnacentral:rRNA from 1 species